CCUUCAACUCCGCGGGGCAGGAGUUAGUUAGCAAAGAGCAGAGGCUGGGCGCGCGACCCUGGUCCUUCUGCCCACGGCCUCAAGCUUUGCUCACAUCUCUCUCUGCAUGGUGGAUAUUAUUUUUCAUUAUCCUUUUCUGGGUGCUAUGGGGGAUCACUCCAAGAAGAAGCCCGGGACGGCCAUGUGCGUGGGCUGCGGGAGUCAGAUCCACGACCAGUUUAUCCUUCGGGUGUCGCCCGACCUCGAGUGGCACGCCGCCUGCCUCAAGUGCGCAGAGUGCAGCCAGUACCUGGACGAGACGUGCACGUGCUUCGUGAGAGACGGGAAAACCUACUGCAAGCGGGACUACGUGAGGCUGUUCGGCAUCAAGUGUGCCCAGUGCCAGGUGGGCUUCAGCAGCAGCGACCUGGUGAUGCGGGCGCGGGACAGCGUGUACCACAUCGAGUGCUUCCGCUGCUCCGUGUGCAGCCGCCAGCUGCUCCCUGGAGACGAGUUCUCGCUACGGGAGCACGAGCUGCUCUGCCGAGCCGACCACGGCCUCCUGCUGGAGCGCGCUGCGGCCGGCAGCCCGCGCAGUCCCGGCCCGCUCCCCGGCGCCCGCGGCGGCCUGCAUCUGCCAGACGCCGGGUCCGGACGACAGCCCUCGCUGCGCACGCACGUGCACAAGCAGGCGGAGAAGACAACCCGGGUGCGGACUGUGCUCAACGAAAAGCAACUGCACACCCUGCGGACGUGCUACGCCGCCAACCCGCGGCCCGACGCGCUCAUGAAGGAGCAGCUGGUAGAGAUGACCGGCUUGAGCCCGCGGGUCAUCCGCGUGUGGUUUCAGAACAAGCGUUGCAAGGACAAGAAGAAGUCGAUUCUCAUGAAGCAGCUACAGCAGCAGCAACACAGCGACAAGGCGAGCCUCCAGGGACUGACUGGGACGCCUCUGGUGGCAGGCAGCCCCAUCCGCCAUGAGAACGCGGUGCAGGGCAGCGCAGUCGAGGUGCAGACGUACCAGCCGCCCUGGAAAGCACUCAGCGAGUUCGCACUCCAGAGCGACCUGGACCAACCCGCCUUUCAACAGCUGGUAUCCUUCUCGGAGUCAGGCUCCCUAGGCAACUCCUCCGGUAGCGAUGUGACCUCUCUGUCCUCGCAGCUCCCGGACACCCCCAACAGUAUGGUACCUAGUCCGGUGGAGACGUGAGCGAGGACCCCUCCCUGCCAGCCCGCGGACCUCGCAUGCUCCCUGCAUGAGACUCACCCAUGCUCAGGCCAUUCCAGCUCCGAACAAUCUCCGGCCCUUGUAAUUAUUGUUGUUAUUUAAAGCGAGCGGACAGAGGCACGCGACAGCGACGGGAUGGCGGCCAGCAGCGCGAGGACACGGCCUGCCCUGCUGAGACUGGAGACUCCUGCUCCAAGGACUUUUCUGUUUUUUUUUUUUCCCCUCAUAACUAGAAUUUGGGACAUUCUGGGUUAGCUCCGCCCUUGCCUCUCCCUCGCUGCGUGGGGUGCCACUGUCUCUCUGCACCCCGCUCGCUCGGGAACCCAUCCGGUGGGGUCCUACAGGGCCCUACCGGCCAGGACGCCUGCUCCGAACUCGCCUGCGCUGACCCGAGGCUUUGCUCUGGACCUGGCGGCAAGGACGGGACAAUUCCAAGAAACAGAUCCCCAAAGCGCAUGGCUGCCGGACAGAGUUAGAAACCAGACUGUCUUUUUAAAAGUGUUUUAAAUUAUCUGUCGACGGAGGACAGUGAGAGCCUUUGCCGAACAAACAUGCUGAGCUGGGCUCCAAUAUCACCAAGAGGAGUCUGGUCAGAUGAUUAGUGGAUAAGGUGUUUGUCAUCAAUCCUGAUAACCUGAGUUUGAUCCCUGGAACCCAGAUGGGAAGGAAACACGGUGAAAAGAAAGAAUCAACUUGUAUACUUCUAAGAUGGAGUUAACUGCAGGAGCCUUACAGACUAUAUAGGAGGUAGCCUUUGAGCAGCAGCCUUCUUGGUGGUCUGGAUUCACUGCUGUGUAGCAGCAGUAGAGAAUCCAGGAAGGAGGAAGAGAAGGGGAAAAAUAAGAGAGGAAGUCAGAGUUGAGAGAAACAAAACUUACAAUAGUUGGGGACUUGGCCUCUCCUACAUACUGGAAACCAGGUGAGCCUAGAGACAGGGUCUUCUCAAGUAGUGAGAGGCAGGCAAGUGGCUGUCUCUCUGUGUUCCAGUGGGAAAACGGACAAGGCCUAAAUUAGCUUCCUGAGAGAGAUCCUCUAUCUGCUGCAGAGCAAAAGGAGAGGGCCAUUGGGCAGACUCUCUCCUCUUCUGCAGGGGAGAAUAAUGACUCACAGCUAUUGGUACCAACUCCUGGAUGCUGGGCAUCCAGUGUGGAGGUCUGACAACUACCUACCCAUCUACCCAUUCUCCAACUACUAGAGUGUAAGCCAUGUCUUAGCACGUCAUCCACAUGCUAAGUAGUAUUAGGCUCCUCAAUCUUCCAGUCCUUGGUCACCACAUAGGUCCUUCAUGACCUCGGCUUAUCUCUUGUGCCUGCUCAAAUGCUAAGUUUUAGCCAUAAUGAACAGCAUGCAGUUCCCUGUACCUGUUAGGCUAUUUUGUACCUCAGUACCUUUGCUUAUGCUCACUAUGCAUAUUCCUAUCAUGUGACCAGUAACCUCUAUCUUACUUUAUAUACCAGCACAAGCAUUGUUUCCAUUGUAGAGUAUCUCCAUCAUAGACCUCAGUUGUUUUUCUUUUUCUGUUUGAGUUUCACUCUUCAGAAUGUCAGCAAUAUUAGGGCAAAGAUUUGGUCUAUUUUAUUUCCUACUAUCCUGUGUGUCUACAAAAUUCCCCUGUCUGUGGACUCCUCAAAAACUGUGUGGACUGCAGGUUUUUCUAAAUCUCUUAGCACAUGUUUUGAAACAGAGUGGGCAUUUAGUAAAAGCUGAUAAAUGAGAAGAAAUGACUGGUAAAUGUUUAAAGGGCCACAAAAUUCACAAUAUUGGCAUUUCCCCAAGAAUAAAUCUAGUGUUCUGUUGCA